CAGCCAGCCAAGCCAUGCCAUGCCGUGAAUUUAAAAAUGAAAACUUAAUUUGAUCUACUUUUCAUGAUUCUUAACGAAGAAUCGAUUGUAUUAUCGGCGUCUACUUGACUAUACUCAGUUUCAUCGAACACAGAUCGACACUUCCAAGAGCUUGCCUUAUCAGAUGUACAUUGCUGCUCAGUGCCAUUUGCUCUAUGCCUGUAGAUGUUUCCUGUCAUGUGUGGAAGGAACGUCGGGUAGAGAAUCGAUGGCUACCUUAAUAUCA